ACAGUGGUGGUUCACUGGUAGAAUUCUUGCCUUCCAUGCAAGAGACCCAGGUUUGAUUCCUGGCCAGUGCA
rnacentral:tRNA from 1 species